GGUCAUCAAAAGCUGAUUUUAUGGUCAGCAAAUUCUGCUGCUACAAUGUUUGACCGCCACGAAAACAUGCAUCCUCAUCAUCUUCGCUAAGCACCAGGAGCUCCAGGUCCCUCUGAUAUCUCUGCCAGGCUUGGGUGAAAGAACAUCCCCACCAAUGAGGGUGUUUGCUGGAAGCACAGGGGGAGGUCUGAAAUCCAACUACGGCCGGCUGGAGCCAACCCAACGAGAACCACUGUGCUGUGGCCCAUUCUCUGUAUGCCUGUAGAAAGGUGCUUUUGUGACACGGGAUACAGCGCCCGCCAGCAGCACUCCCUGUCUGCAAGCUAGCAGCUCAGGUGAAGUGUCCUUGACUUGCCCCUCCGUAAAAGACAAACAGAUGCAGUGUAAGAUAUACAGCUGAGUCCUGAGAGAGGGGCUCCUCUGGGGUUCUCUGUGCCCUGACCUCAACCUCGUCGUCUCUCGACUCCAUUCAGACUACACACAACAGCAGCGGUCAGCUUACAGUGCCCAGUUGGUCACUGAGGACCCAGGCGCUGCUCACCUGUCUGUUCAUUUAACACUGGCACUGGCCCUGCCCUCAGCCUCCAUCCUCAUACACUAUAGAGCAAGGGAUAAGGAAGAGUUAACUUACUCAACUGGUGCAGCCAAGCAAAGAAAGGACCAAAGAUGACUCGGAUGGAUGGUGGUGUAUUACCUUACAUUAACCCUAUUCAUGCAAAGGUGGUCUUGAAGCUGCAGUGAAUGUGUAUAGAGUAAGAGCUGAGGUGGGAGUUAUACAAUAAUGCAGAGACUUGUUUUGCAACCAGCACAGUCACUCUCUGUAUGAAUAUUCCAGUACUAGCAAGGCCAUAGAUAGUUUUUGUUCUUUUCUAUUGGAUCUUAUCACAGAAAAUCUAGAUGCUGCAGAAUUAGCAGCUAAUGACUUUGGCAAGAGAUCUGCUGGCAGUGAAGACACUUCUCAUGUAGUCUGACUACAAAAGCACUCUCUAACGCCACACUUUCCCCAACAGGCCUCUUUGAUGUUAAGGAUUGGUUUCUAAUGGGCUUGAAGCUUUCAAUGUUUUUGAAUGAAUGUUUUGGGUUGAGUUUUUGGACUUAUAGUUUUUUGUUUGUAAUAAAUUGCUGAUUGAGUUAGAUUAUUUUGACAUUUACUGUUGAAAGUGAAAUUUGGGGGCUUCUUUGUUUUAAAGGCCAUUUAUUAGGGGAAUUGAAGCUUCAAAGUAAUAGUUUUUCAUAUGUUUUCUUCUUGAGAUCCAAGGCAGUAAUUAUAAUAUAUGAUGGAACACAGCACCCCCAAAAUUUAAAUACGCUCCUCCCCACAAUAUACUGCUAAAAACGAAAAUGUGGUAUGCUAUGAAACCGCUAUCAAAAAUAUCCAUUAGCAAAUAAAAUCAUAAUCAUAAAUAAAGUUAAGCAACUGCCAUUAUUAUUACUACUGGUCCUAGCAUUACAAUGUACUUCAGUUCUGCAAAUUGUUUGUCAGUGUGGUGUUGCCCCAGCCUGCUGUGGGCUAGUACAAUCAAUGUCAAAUGCUGUACUAUGUCUCUCUCUAUUAUUCUUUAGAAUGUAUUAAA